GCGUCGCUAGCUCAACUGGUAGAGCAUCUGACUCUUAAUCAGGUGGUUCGGGGUUCGAGUCCCUGGCGACGCACCA
rnacentral:tRNA from 1 species